AUACGUAGGUGGCGAGCGUUGUCCGGAAUUACUGGGUGUAAAGGGCGUGUAGGCGGGGAUGUAAGUCAGAUGUGAAAUUCCACGGCUUAACCGUGGGGCUGCAUCUGAAACUAUGUCUCUUGAGUGCUGGAGAGGAAAGCGGAAUUCCCAGUGUAGCGGUGAAAUGCGUAGAUAUUGGGAGGAACACCAGUGGCGAAGGCGGCUUUCUGGACAGUAACUGACGCUGAGGCGCGGGAGCGUGGGGAGCAAACAGGAUUAGAUACCCUGGUAGUCCACGCUGUAAACGAUGGAUACUAGGUGUAGGAGGUAUCGACCCCUUCUGUGCCGGAGUUAACACAAUAAGUAUCCCACCUGGGGAGUACGGCCGCAAGGUUGAA
rnacentral:rRNA from 1 species